GCUGGGCGUGGUGGCUCACGCCUGUAAUCCCAGCACUUAGGAGGCCGAGGUGGGUGGAUCAUUUGAGGUCAGGAGUUUGAGAGCAGCCUGGCCAACAUGGUGAAAUCCCAUCUCCC
rnacentral:SRP_RNA from 1 species